AAUCUUUGAAGGAACUUUGCGAGUGCUCCGUUGAGUUUUUCACUUUGAGUUUUGUAGAUUUGAAGCAAAAACAUCCAGAAUUUUCUUUGGAUAUGAUGGAUAUGCUUUUACAAAAACGAAAGGAUAUCUCGCGCUCUGAAAGGCAGGAGUUACUAACUUCAUGCCAGCGAACUAAUGUUACCUUUUCAGAAGAAAAAUUAAA